rnacentral:rRNA from 1 species
GAUGAACGCUAGCGGUAGGCCUAAUACAUGCAAGUCGCACGAAGUUUUCGGACUUAGUGGCGGACAGGUGCGUAACACGUAUGCAACUUACCCUUCAGCGGGAGACAACCGAUGGAAACGUCGGCUAAUACCGCAUAGGACCUGAAUCUCGCAUGGGAUAAUGGUUAAAGACUUCGGUCACUGAAGGCUGGGCAUGCGUCUGAUUAGCUAGAUGGGGUGGUAACGGCGCCCCAUGGCGACGAUCAGUAGCUGGUCUGAGAGGAUGAUCAGCCACACUGGCACUGAGACACGGGCCAGACUCCUACGGGAGGCAGCAGUAGGGAAUAUUGGUCAAUGGGCGGAAGCCUGAACCAGCCAUACCGCGUGAGGGAAGACAGUCCACCGGAUUGUAAACCUCUUUUCUCGGAGAAUAAGGCCCUGUUGGUCAGGGUUUGCAGGUAUCCGAGGAAUAAGCACCGGCAAACUACGUGCCAGCAGCCGCGGUAAUACGUAGGGUGCAAGCGUUGUCCGGAAUUAUUGGGUUUAAAGGGUACGUAGGCGGAGCGAUAAGCUGCGGGUGAAAUAUCAGGGCUCAACCCUGGUGCUGCCUGCGGAACUGUUGUUCUUGAGCACAGAUGAGGCAGCUGGAACGAGUGGUGUAGCGGUGAAAUGCGUAGAGAUCACUCAGAACACCGAUUGCGAAGGCAGGCUGCCGGGCUGUGACUGACGCUGAGGUACGAAAGCGUGGGGAGCGAACAGGAUUAGAUACCCUGGUAGUCCACGCUGUAAACGAUGGAUACUGGCCACUGGUCUAUUUUAGAGAUCAGUGGCUGAGCGAAAGCGUUAAGUAUCCCACCUGGGGAGUACGCCCGCAAGGGUGAAACUCAAAGGAAUUGACGGGGGCCCGCACAAGUGGUGGAGCAUGUGGUUUAAUUCGAUGAUACGCGAGGAACCUUACCUGGGCUCGAAUGCAAGGUGCUACCUGGUGAAAACCGGGGUCCCUUCGGGUCGCUUUGCAAGGUGCUGCAUGGCUGUCGUCAGCUCGUGCCGUGAGGUGUUGGGUUAAGUCCCGCAACGAGCGCAACCCUUAUCGUCAGUUGCCAGCAGGUCAAGCUGGGGACUCUGACGAGACUGCCCUCGCAAGAGGAGAGGAAGGCGAGGACGACGUCAAGUCAUCAUGGCCCUUACGCCCAGGGCGACACACGUGCUACAAUGGCUGGUACAGCGGGAGGCAAUACCGCGAGGUGGAGCAAAUCCCGAAAAGCCAGUCUCAGUUCGGAUCGCAGUCUGCAACCCGACUGCGUGAAGCCGGAAUCACUAGUAAUCGCGGAUCAGCCAUGUCGCGGUGAAUACGUUCCCGGGCCUUGUACACACCGCCCGUCAAGCCAUGGAAGCUGGGGGCGCCUGAAGUCGCUACGCAAGGUAGCGCCGAGGGCGAAACUGGUAACUAGGGC